GAUGAACGCUGGCGGCGCGCCUAACACAUGCAAGUCGAACGGACGAUGAAAAGCUUGCUUUUCAAAGUUAGUGGCGGACGGGUGAGUAACGCGUGGGUAACCUGCCUCAUACAGGGGAAUAGCAGCUGGAAACGGCUGAUAAAACCGCAUAAGCGCACAGUGCCGCAUGGCACAGUGUGAAAAAACUCCGGUGGUAUGAGAUGGACCCGCGUCUGAUUAGCUGGUUGGCGGGGUAACGGCCCACCAAGGCGACGAUCAGUAGCCGGCCUGAGAGGGUGAUCGGCCACAUUGGGACUGAGACACGGCCCAAACUCCUACGGGAGGCAGCAGUGGGGAAUAUUGCACAAUGGGGGAAACCCUGAUGCAGCGACGCCGCGUGAAGGAAGAAGUAUCUCGGUAUGUAAACUUCUAUCAGCAGGGAAGAUAAUGACGGUACCUGACUAAGAAGCCCCGGCUAACUACGUGCCAGCAGCCGCGGUAAUACGUAGGGGGCAAGCGUUAUCCGGAUUUACUGGGUGUAAAGGGAGCGUAGGCGGCGGAGCAAGUCAGAAGUGAAAGCCCGGGGCUCAACCCCGGGACGGCUUUUGAAACUGCCCUGCUUGAUUUCAGGAGAGGUAAGCGGAAUUCCUAGUGUAGCGGUGAAAUGCGUAGAUAUUAGGAGGAACACCAGUGGCGAAGGCGGCUUACUGGACUGACAAUGACGCUGAGGCUCGAAAGCGUGGGGAGCAAACAGGAUUAGAUACCCUGGUAGUCCACGCCGUAAACGAU
rnacentral:rRNA from 1 species